UACAGAGGGUGCAAGCGUUAAUCGGAAUUACUGGGCGUAAAGCGUGCGUAGACGGUUAUGUAAGUCGGGUGUGAAAGCCCCGGGCUCAACCUGGGAAUGCCAUUCGAGACUGCAUAGCUAGGGUGCGGAAGAGGGAAGCGGAAUUUCCGGUGUAGCGGUGAAAUGCGUAGAUAUCCUAAGGAACACCGGUGGCGAAAGCGGCGUACUGGGUCUUAUCUGACGCUGAGGCACGAAAGCUAGGGUAGCGAACGGG
rnacentral:rRNA from 1 species